UACACCACUGACCCUUGAGACAGGGCUUACUCGCCAUGAUUGGAAAGAUGAGUGGAAAUUAAUCCGAUACAGGGCGCACGGUAAAGCGGUUGCACCUGCCGUGCGUAGGAGAUAGAA
ncrna:unclassified sequences RT-4 RNA